rnacentral:ribozyme from 1 species
UUCCAAAUUUGCCCUGUAAUGGGAUGGGAUCCGAAGCCUCCUGAAAAUAUCAAUCAACUCCUAUUCCGACACGUCCACGUCGUGCAGGGUGGUAACAUGGGGCUAAGUCCAACCUGUCGACGUCGUUGGCGGACGACGGCUCAUGGCUAAGAAUGAAGGG